GACGAACGCUGGCGGCAUGCCUAACACAUGCAAGUCUAGGGGUAGCAAUACCACUGGCGCACGGGUGAGUAACACGUAGGUUAUCUGCCCCCAUCACAGACAUAACCCCCGGGAAACCGGGGCUAAUAUCUGAUGAGGUCGCGAGAUCAAAGCUUCGGCGGAUGGGGAUGAGCCUGCGGCUGAUUAGCUAGUUGGUGAGGUAAUGGCUCACCAAGGCGACGAUCAGUAGCUGGUCUGAGAGGACGAACAGCCACACUGGAACUGAGACACGGUCCAGACUCCUACGGAGGCAGCAGUGGGGAAUUUUGGACAAUGGGGGCAACCCUGAUCCAGCCAUGCCGCGUGAGUGAAGAAGGCCUUC
rnacentral:rRNA from 1 species